AGAGCGGAUGUGGAUGAGCUCAGUGAUGGUUUUCAGGUCCCCAGUUCUGCCCCGCCUGCCACUUGGGUGUUCUUUGAUAUGUUUCAGACCCAUCCUGUUCUCCCAGCUAUCCCUGGGUGCUGCCGGCAGGAAUGAGGCCUGGCUCCCAGCUCAGGCUCAGGCUCAGUGGGAGACGGAGAACAUGUCAGCAUGUUCAUUUUCCAGUUUCUAAUCCUCUUUAUGAAAGAACAAAACGCAGUCAAGUCAGAUUCUGUGUGGAGGCUGCAGGAAGGCAGGGCUGCUGUAUGUUGCCAGGAAACUUCUAGGGCAGAGGCUAUUCAACAAGCUCAUGAAGAUGACCUUCUAUGGGCAUUUUGUAGCCGGCGAGGACCAGGAGUCCAUCCAGCCCCUGCUUCGGCACAACAGGGCCUUCGGUGUCGGCGCCAUUCUGGACUAUGGAGUGGAGGAGGACCUGAGCCCCGAGGAGGCAGAGCACAAGGAGAUGGAGUCCUGCACCUCAGCUGCGGAGAGGGAUGGCAGUGGGACAAAUAAGCGAGAUAAGCAAUACCAGGCCCACCGGGCCUUCGGGGACCGCAGGAGUGGCGUCAUCAGUGCCCGCACCUACUUCUAUGCCAACGAGGCCAAGUGCGACAGCCACAUGGAGACAUUCUUGCGCUGCAUCGAAGCCUCAGGUAGAGUCAGCGAUGACGGCUUCAUAGCCAUUAAGCUCACGGCACUGGGGAGACCCCAGUUUCUGCUGCAGUUCUCAGAGGUGCUGACCAAGUGGAGACGCUUCUUUCACCAAAUGGCUGCGGAGCAAGGGCAGGCGGGCCUGGCUGCCAUGGACACCAAGCUGGAGGUGGCCGCGCUGCAGGUGGGGCAGCCCUCCCCUUCCCCACUCCUGGGUCUUGUGCGGGGGUGGGCACCGUGGGGGCGCACAGGGGGCGUGGUGGGCAGUGGUCUGAGGCGGUUUGGGGAACUCAUCCAGGGCAUGUGGCUCACUCUGCAGCUGCUGGGGUUGGCCUUGUGGGGAGGAGGAGGUCAGAGGGACGCUGAACAGAGGAGGAAGAUGCUGGUGGGAGGGCUGGGGACCAGCCCUGCAGGGCAUGGGUGAGCAUCAGCAGCAGGGUGGGAAUAGACCUGUCUAUGCAGUAGAAACAAACCAGAAAUGGAUCCCGUUCUCGCUAAUGAUGUAAUAAAGCCAGAAACAGCACCAGAGGCCAAUGGGUGGGGGAAGGAUAAAAUGUGAACGAAUGGGGCUGAUCCAGGCCUUCUCACUUCUCAAGGAAAGUGUUGCAAAGAUGGGCAUCGCAUCCAGGGCUGAGAUUGAGGACUGGUUCACGGCGGAGACCCUGGGAGUGUCUGGGUGAGAACAGCCCCCAGGCUGAGAGGACACGAGCAUCAGCCAUGGUUCCAGCCAAGCCCCAGCAGCGUCUCCCAGUCCUGGCUGCCCUGCCUGAGAGGGUGGGCCUUGGGAUGACAGUGCUGAAGGACCUGCUUUUCACACAGCAGGACUUGAUGGCUUCAGGAGUCCCUGGGGCCCCAUAGAGGGCUCUUUAUAGAAUUAUCUGGGUCCAGAGCAAAGGUGGCACUCUCAGCACCCCUGGAGCCCACGCUGGCAGGUGAAGGAUCAGAGCCCCACGCCCCAUCCUUGGGGUCAGGGGCUGGGACCGAGGGCACCAGGAGCCCCCAGUUGAAGUGGGGAGGUGACUGGGGUGGUGCAGUAGUCAGCCGUCCCCUCACAUACUGUCAGCCUUGCCCACUGUGUCCUCCCUGGCCCCCGGAGCUGUGUCCACCUCCUGCCUGGUUGCGUAUGCUCGGCCCCUCCACAAGCCCAAAACAGCCCUAGGGUACUCAGUGUUUUCAGAGCCGCCUAGAUACAGGACUGUUUGUGUUUUGGUUUUAAAUUACUUUAAUUAAUUAACUUUUUAUGGAGACCAGGUCUCACCAUGUUGCCCAGGCUGGUUUCAAACUCCUGGGCUCAAGUGACCUGCCCACCGUAGCCUCCCAAAGUGCUGGGAUUACAAGUUUGAGCCACUGCACGCCACUGGUUUUAAAUUUUUAAACAGAGAACAGUAUUUACAUUUUCUCUGUCUUUUUUUUUUUUUUUUUUUUUUUUCCCCGAGACAGAGUCUCGCUCUGUCGCCCAGGCUGGAGUGCAGUGGCACGAUCUCUGCUCACUGCAAGCUCUGCCUCCUGGGUUCACUCCAUUCUCCUGCCUCAGCCUUCUCUGUCUUUUAAAACUGCACACCGAGGUGGGUUUUGUGGUGGUUGGUGGACGGACAGGUUUGGGCCUGGAUCCCC
rnacentral:lncRNA from 10 species